UACAGAGGGGGCAAGCGUUGUUCGGAAUUACUGGGCGUAAAGGGCGCGUAGGCGGCCUGUUAAGUCGAACGUGAAAUCCCCGGGCUCAACCCGGGAACUGCGUCCGAAACUGGCAGGCUCGAAUCCGGGAGAGGGAUGCGGAAUUCCAGGUGUAGCGGUGAAAUGCGUAGAUAUCUGGAGGAACAUCGGUGGUGAAGGCGGCAUCCUGGACCGGUAUUGACGCUGAGGCGCGAAAGCCAGGGGAGCAAACGGG
rnacentral:rRNA from 1 species